rnacentral:rRNA from 1 species
UACAGAGGGUGCGAGCGUUAAUCGGAAUUACUGGGCGUAAAGCGUGCGUAGACGGUUAUUUAAGUCGGGUGUGAAAGCCCCGGGCUCAACCUGGGAAUUGCAUUCGAGACUGAAUAGCUAGGGUACGGUAGAGGGAAGCGGAAUUUCCGGUGUAGCGGUGAAAUGCGCAGAUAUCAGGAGGAACACCAAUUGCGAAGGCAGCUCGCUGGGACGUUACUGACGCUGAGACGCGAAAGCGUGGGGAGCAAACAGG